GAAGGACUGAGCUAGUUUGCGAAACCACAGCACACUUUGGCAAAGAGGGAAUGCACAACAAAACGGAUGGGGUGGCUGGACGAGAGCAGCUCUUGGCUCAGCAAAGAAUGCACAGUAUGAUCAGCUCAGGUAAGAUCCUCUUUCAUAACUGAGACGUUUUAGGUUUGAAAGGGGGCUGGCUUGGGAAAUGCAGCUAAGAAAAGCACCUCUCUUAAGGAAAUUGCUGCUUUUUCGUGUUGAUGUUGCUAUUUUCUUGGUGCGUCUGUAGGGUUUAACUUAGAUCCCUUCCAUUACUGUUUCUGUGCAUAUUCAGUCUGCUUAGGGACAGCAGCUUCUGAAUGAAAUUGCAAACUAUUGCUUCUGAUGAAAGAUGAGACUGAGAUAAGUAAAAUGUAGUUGGGGGUGUUUUGCCUUUACUAUGCAACUAGAAAAAGGAGCUGUGUACUGAUUGUAAGCCUAUUCUAAUAGGACUUUAAAAAUCAGGUAAGUUCAUAUUGGGGCUUCAGUUUAAACUGCAGCCCCGCUAGCCUGACGAUUUUAUAUUUACUCUG
rnacentral:sRNA from 1 species